rnacentral:rRNA from 1 species
AGCAUGUGGUUAAUUCGAAGCAACGCGUAAGAACCUUACCAGGUCUUGACAUCCCGAUGCUAUUUCUAGAGAUAGAAAGUUACUUCGGUACAUCGGUGACAGGUGGUGCAUGGUUGUCGUCAGCUCGUGUCGUGAGAUGUUGGGUUAAGUCCCGCAACGAGCGCAACCCCUAUUGUUAGUUGCCAUCAUUCAGUUGGGCACUCUAGCGAGACUGCCGGUAAUAACCGGAGGAAGGUGGGGAUGACGUCAAAUCAUCAUGCCCCUUAUGACCUGGGCUACACACGUGCUACAAUGGUUGGUACAACGAGUUGCGAGUCGGUGACGGCGAACUAAUCUCUUAAAGCCAAUCUCAGUUCGGAUUGUAGGCUGCAACUCGCCUACAUGAAGUCGGAAUCGCUAGUAAUCGCGGAUCAGCACGCCGCGGUGAAUACGUUCCCGGGCCUU